rnacentral:rRNA from 1 species
AGAGUUUGAUCCUGGCUCAGGAUGAACGCUGGCGGCGUGCCUAACACAUGCAAGUCGAACGGAGCUGCUUUGAUGAAGUUUUCGGAUGGAUUUAAAACAGCUUAGUGGCGGACGGGUGAGUAACGCGUGGGUAACCUGCCUCACACUGGGGGAUAACAGUUAGAAAUAGCUGCUAAUACCGCAUAAGCGCACGGUUCCGCAUGGAACAGUGUGAAAAACUCCGGUGGUGUGAGAUGGACCCGCGUCUGAUUAGCCAGUUGGCGGGGUAACGGCCCACCAAAGCGACGAUCAGUAGCCGGCCUGAGAGGGUGAACGGCCACAUUGGGACUGAGACACGGCCCAAACUCCUACGGGAGGCAGCAGUGGGGAAUAUUGCACAAUGGGGGAAACCCUGAUGCAGCGACGCCGCGUGAGUGAAGAAGUAUUUCGGUAUGUAAAGCUCUAUCAGCAGGGAAGAAAAUGACGGUACCUGACUAAGAAGCCCCGGCUAACUACGUGCCAGCAGCCGCGGUAAUACGUAGGGGGCAAGCGUUAUCCGGAUUUACUGGGUGUAAAGGGAGCGUAGACGGAUGGACAAGUCUGAUGUGAAAGGCUGGGGCUCAACCCCGGGACUGCAUUGGAAACUGCCCGUCUUGAGUGCCGGAGAGGUAAGCGGAAUUCCUAGUGUAGCGGUGAAAUGCGUAGAUAUUAGGAAGAACACCAGUGGCGAAGGCGGCUUACUGGACGGUAACUGACGUUGAGGCUCGAAAGCGUGGGGAGCAAACAGGAUUAGAUACCCUGGUAGUCCACGCC